rnacentral:rRNA from 1 species
UACGUAGGGGGCUAGCGUUGUCCGGAAUCAUUGGGCGUAAAGCGCGUGUAGGCGGUUCGGUAAGUCCGCUGUGAAAGUCGGGGGCUCAACCCUCGAAUGCCGGUGGAUACUGUCGGACUAGAGUACGGAAGAGGCGAGUGGAAUUCCUGGUGUAGCGGUGAAAUGCGCAGAUAUCAGGAGGAUCACCAAUUGCGAAGGCAGCUCGCUGGGACGUUACUGACGCUGAGACGCGAAAGCGUGGGGAGCAAACAGG